GCGCUUAUGUAGGUAGCACGCAUACUAAAAUUAGAAUGAUAUAGAGAUUAGCAUGGCUCCUGUGCAAGGAUGACAUGCAAACUCAUGAAGCAUUCCAUAUUUUU